UAAGUAAUAUAGAAUAAACAAAAAAAUUAAUAAUUUCAGAAAGCGAAAGGACCGAACUGGUUAAACCGAUGAAUGCUGCAACAGUUUAGACACAAGCUCAGAGUCGUAUGUCAUUAGAUGUUUGUUAAGAAAGAGAAUAAUUUAAUCGAGGCAAGAAAAAGAAAAAAAAAGAAGCCAAAAACCCUAAUAAAAAAUUCAGUCACGACGUGAGCCCCAAUUCCAUUUUUCUCAAUCGUCUUCCCUUCUCAUCAUCAACCCUCAUUUUCUUCAUUUGUGAGAUGAUUUUGUGAGAAUCUAGAUCUCUGGGGGAGAUUUGUCUGUAUGAUUGUUCAAGGAAGUGGUUAUGGUGGUGUUUUAGACAGGAGAGAUCUGUGUCUGAAUAGGAUCAUAUCAAGGUUAUUUUCUCUUGCGUGAAACGGAAGGAAACGACUCUUUUAUCUUUUUUUUUUUUUGCGUUUCCUUAGGUUUUGUAGAAGAUGGGGAAUGUAUGUAUUCAUAUGGUCAACAAUUGUGUGGAUACGAAAUCAAACACAUGGGUUCGUCCCACAGAUCUCAUCAUGGAUCAUCCAGUGAAGCCGCAGCUCCCAGACAAGCCUCCUCAACAGAUGCUGAUGCACAAAGAUGAUGAUAAACCCAAGCUUGAGACUAGUGGAGAAGACCCUAAGUUACUUGAAGCGAGUGAUUCUCAUCAGGAACAACAAGAAGGAAGCACGAGUGAAGAGAGGAAGAAGCGUGCGGCGAGGAUAGCGUGUGGGAACAGCAAGAGAAAGCCUCACAACGUGAAGAGACUUAUGAGCGCAGGGUUGCAAGCGGAGUCUGUGUUGAAAACGAAGACAGGGCAUUUGAAGGAAUACUAUAACUUGGGGAGCAAGUUAGGUCACGGGCAGUUCGGGACGACGUUUGUUUGUACAGAGAAAGGAACGGGAGAGGAGUACGCGUGCAAGUCGAUACCAAAGAGGAAGCUGGAGAACGAAGAAGACGUGGAGGACGUGAGAAGAGAGAUUGAGAUAAUGAAACAUUUGUUAGGUCAGCCUAACGUGAUCUCCAUCAAAGGAGCUUAUGAAGACGCGGUGGCUGUUCAUAUGGUGAUGGAGCUGUGCAGAGGAGGUGAGCUGUUUGAUAGGAUAGUGGAGAGAGGGCAUUACUCCGAGAGGAAAGCUGCUCACUUGGCUAAGGUUAUACUUGGUGUGGUUCAGACUUGUCAUUCCUUAGGUGUGAUGCAUAGAGAUCUUAAACCUGAGAACUUUCUAUUUGUUGAUGAUCAAGAGGAUUCGCCUCUUAAGGCUAUUGAUUUUGGGUUGUCUAUGUUCGUCAAGCCUGGAGAAAACUUCAGUGAUGUGGUUGGGAGUCCAUACUACAUUGCACCUGAAAUUCUGAACAAGGACUAUGGUCCUGAAGCAGAUAUUUGGAGCGCCGGUGUGAUGAUUUAUGUGCUACUCUCUGGCUCAGCUCCUUUUUGGGGUGAAACUGAAGAGGAAAUCUUCAAUGAGGUUCUGGAGGGUGAGCUUGAUUUGUCAUCAGAUCCUUGGCCACAAGUCUCUGAAAGCGCGAAAGAUUUGAUCAGAAAGAUGCUUGAAAGAGACCCUAAAAAAAGACUCACUGCUCAACAAGUGUUGGGCCAUCCAUGGAUUAGAGAUGAAGGAAAUGCACCAGAUACACCGCUUGACGCAACUGUGUUGAAUCGCUUGAAGAAGUUUUCAGAAACAGACAAGCUCAAGAAAAUAGCUUUACAGGUGACUGUGGAAAGGCUUUCCGAAGAAAAGAUUCGCAGUCUUAGAGAAACCUUCAAGAUUAUAGACAGUGAGAAGAGUGGGAAAGUAACUUAUAAAGAACUCAAAAGCAUUCUUGAAAGGUUUGACACAAAUCUUGACAACUCUGACAUCAGCGGUCUUAUGCAAAUGCCAAUGAAUGAGCAUUUAGAAGACACCGUAGACUACGAGGAGUUCAUUGCGGCGAUUGUUAGACUUAAAGAAUUGCAAGACGAGGAAGCAAACGAUCGUUUAGAUUCAUCAACAAAAGUGUAAUGAAGUUUUCUGAAGAAGUGUAAUGAGUAAUCAAAACUGAUGAUGAUGAUAUACUUGUAGGAAGUUACAAAAGAGCUGCAACAAAUUGAAAUAGGAAGGACAGAACAAGGAGAAGAGGGCACAAGAAAGAAUGUUGAUGGAUGAAAAGACCAAUAACUUGUAGGUUCUUUUUUCUUUUGUUUAUGAUAUCUUUUUAGAGCAGAAAAAAAAAGGCUGUGUGUGUAUAUAUAUAAAAGUUGUUGUAGAAAGGAUAAGGAAACACAACUUAAACUCAGGUGAUGUUGAUGCUUUCAAUACUUCUAGACUAUAUUGCAUGUGCCUUUUAUAGUUUGGUGUAGCAUGAUCCGACUUCUUUUCUGGUUUUAUACAAAAUUUUACAGAAACUUGGAAAAUGAAUUUAGAGUACAGUUUGAUUAUUCAUAUACCUAGCCAGAUGACCUAGCUGGAUAGUUUUUUUAAAAGAAAUUUCUAUCAUAAGAGUAUUAAAUUGAUGAUAAACUGCCGUCUGAUAUAUAAAUAUGCGUGCAUGUUGUAACUUGGAACUAAAAUUGAAGCUACUGCGGGUCAAGAAGUCAAAAUUUUACCUUUUAUUAAUUGUUAUUACAUUUUCAAGUUUUCAUAAUUUGAAAUAAUCAAAUAAAAACAUUCUUCAAUAUAUGAUUUUUGAAAAUAUAAUGCUGUAGAAAUAAAAGGGUAACAUAUGUUAAUAACUUUACUUGUAUAAAAAUAUGACAUAAUUAACAAAUUUGAACUCGUUUUAAUGGUAGAUAAUAAUUUAUCUAAAUGAAAUCAUUUUAAAAAUAAAUAGGUAA